rnacentral:rRNA from 1 species
UUUCCGUAGGUGAACCUGCGGAAGGAUCAUUAACGAACAAUGGGGCUCGCCCCUUGUCUCACAAACACACCCCCCGUGCACGCUAUCGAAAGGCCGGCUUGUUGGGAGACCGCGGGCCUGGCCGUUCGUUUCACAAACUCGAGAAUGUCUGUCAGAAUGUCUAUUGGGUGUAACGAUACAAUAAUAUAACUUUCAGCAACGGAUCUCUUGGCUCUCGCAUCGAUGAAGAACGCAGCGAAAUGCGAUAAGUAAUGUGAAUUGCAGAAUUCAGUGAAUCAUCGAAUCUUUGAACGCACCUUGCGCUCCUUGGCAUUCCGAGGAGCAUGCCUGUUUGAGUGUCAUGAAACUCUCAACCCCCGCCGUCUUUGCGGACGAGCGUCGGUUGGAUUUUGGAGGCUUGCCGGACGGUCACGUUCGGCUCCUCUCGAAAGCAUAACGAAGCUUGGGCCGACCGACCGAGUGGACGUGAUAACAAAAAGUCACCGUCGACUCAAGGGUCCGUCGUUGAAUGGUCCGAACGCUUCGUUUCGCCUCUUUGGCAUUUCUCUGACCUCUGACCUCAAAUCAGGUAGGACUACCCCGCUGAACUUAA